rnacentral:rRNA from 1 species
AGAGUUUGAUCCUGGCUCAGGACGAACGCUGGCGGCGUGCUUAACACAUGCAAGUCGAACGGUAAGGCCCUUUCGGGGGUACACGAGUGGCGAACGGGUGAGUAACACGUGAGUAACCUGCCCUCAUCUCUGGGAUAACAGUCGGAAACGGUUGCUAAUACUGGAUAUGAGCUUGCAAGGCAUCUUGUGGGUUGGAAAGAUUUUUUUUGGUUGGGGAUGGACUCGCGGCCUAUCAGCUUGUUGGUGAGGUAGUGGCUCACCAAGGCUUCGACGGGUAGCCGGCCUGAGAGGGCGACCGGCCACAUUGGGACUGAGAUACGGCCCAAACUCCUACGGGAGGCAGCAGUGGGGAAUAUUGCACAAUGGACGGAAGUCUGAUGCAGCAACGCCGCGUGCGGGAUGACGGCCUUCGGGUUGUAAACCGCUUUCAAUUGUGACGAAGCUUUUUUGUGACGGUAGCAGUAGAAGAAGCACCGGCUAACUACGUGCCAGCAGCCGCGGUGAUACGUAGGGUGCGAGCGUUGUCCGGAUUUAUUGGGCGUAAAGAGCUUGUAGGCGGUUUGUCGCGUCGGGAGUGAAAACUUGGGGCUUAACCCUGAGCUUGCUUUCGAUACGGGCUGACUUGAGGGAGGUAGGGGAGAAUGGAAUUCCUGGUGGAGCGGUGGAAUGCGCAGAUAUCAGGAGGAACACCGGUGGCGAAGGCGGUUCUCUGGACCUUUCCUGACGCUGAGAAGCGAAAGCGUGGGGAGCGAACAGGCUUAGAUACCCUGGUAGUCCACGCCGUAAACGGUGGGUACUAGGUGUGGGGGACAUUCCACGUUCUCCGUGCCGUAGCUAACGCAUUAAGUACCCCGCCUGGGGAGUACGGCCGCAAGGCUAAAACUCAAAGGAAUUGACGGGGGCC